GAUGAACGCUGGCGGCGUGCCUAAUACAUGCAAGUCGAGCGAACAGACGAGGAGCUUGCUCCUCUGACGUUAGCGGUGGACGGGUGAGUAACACGUGAAUAACCUACCUAUAAGACUGGGAUAACUUCGGGAAACCGGAGCUAAUACCGGAUAACAUGUUGAACCGCAUGGUUCAACAGUGAAAGACGGUCUUGCUGUCACUUAUAGAUGGAUCCGCGCCGCAUUAGCUAGUUGGUAAGGUAACGGCUUACCAAGGCAACGAUGCGUAGCCGACCUGAGGGGGUGAUCGGCCACACUGGAACUGAGACACGGUCCAGACUCCUACGGGAGGCAGCAGUAGGGAAUCUUCCGCAAUGGGCGAAAGCCUGACGGAGCAACGCCGCGUGAGUGAAGAAGGUCUUCGGAUCGUAAAACUCUGUUAUUAGGGAAGAACAAAUGUGUAAGUAACUAUGCACGUCUUGACGGUACCUAAUCAGAAAGCCACGGCUAACUACGUGCCAGCCGCCGCAGUAAAAC
rnacentral:rRNA from 1 species